AGAAUCAACGCUGGCGGCGUGCCUAACACAUGCAAGUCGAACGAGAAAGUGGAGCAAUCCAUGAGUAAAGUGGCGACCGGGUGAGUAACACGUGACUACCUACCCUUGAGUGGGGGAUAACCUCGGGAAACCGAGGCUAAUACCGCAUAAUAUCGAAAGAUCAAAGGAGUAAUCCGCUUUUGGAGGGGUCGCGGCUGAUUAGCUAGUUGGUAGGGUAAUGGCCUACCAAGGCGAAGAUCGGUAUCCGGCCUGAGAGGGCGCACGGACACACUGGAACUGAAACACGGUCCAGACUCCUACGGGAGGCAGCAGUGGGGAAUUUGCGCAAUGGGGGAAACCCUGACGCAGCAACGCCGCGUGAGGAUGAAGCCCCUUGGGGUGUAAACUCCUUUCGACCGGGAAAAUAAUGAUGGUACCGGUGGAAGAAGCACCGGCUAACUCUGUGCCAGCAGCCGC
rnacentral:rRNA from 1 species